rnacentral:miRNA from 14 species
UGUGUGUGUGUGUUGUGUGUGUGUGUGUGUGAGGGGGCGUUUUCUAGAAAAAUAUCAAGUGCGCAACUAAGAAAUCCCCGCGCACGCGCGCGCACACACACACACACACACACA